UGCAGGAUGGAGUAAACAAGGUAACUCAUUAGGCUCAUGAUCUAAAGAUUGUAGGUUCAAAUCCUUCUCCUGCAU
rnacentral:tRNA from 1 species